rnacentral:rRNA from 1 species
GACGAACGCUGGCGGCGUGCUUAACACAUGCAGGUCGAACGGAAAGGCCCUGCUUUUGUGGGGUGCUCGAGUGGCGAACGGGUGAGUAACACGUGAGUAACCUGCCCUUGACUUUGGGAUAACUUCAGGAAACUGGGGCUAAUACCGGAUAGGAGCUCCUGCUGCAUGGUGGGGGUUGGAAAGUUUCGGCGGUUGGGGAUGGACUCGCGGCUUAUCAGCUUGUUGGUGGGGUAGUGGCUUACCAAGGCUUUGACGGGUAGCCGGCCUGAGAGGGUGACCGGCCACAUUGGGACUGAGAUACGGCCCAGACUCCUACGGGAGGCAGCAGUGGGGAAUAUUGCACAAUGGGCGGAAGCCUGAUGCAGCAACGCCGCGUGCGGGAUGACGGCCUUGGGGUUGUAAACCGCUUUCGCCUGUGACGAAGCGUGAGUGACGGUAAUGGGUAAAGAAGCACCGGCUAACUACGUG